AAUAUUAAAACUAUUAAUAUUUUAUUGUUAAGAUUCUGAAAAGAGUAUACCCACCGCUGAGCAUGCUCUUACGUAUUUAGUGGGAUUUUUAUUUGUUCCCAUUGUAGGAAAAUCGAUCUUACAAAAAAUUCUGCUCAGCUGAUGUGUUCGAUUACUUUGAGGAGAAAUCUAUUUAAUUAGGGUUUAUGUUCUGAGAUCAGAGUGAGUGUGUUUGUCAAAACUUGUUGAUGAACUGGUGGUCAUCUAAUAAUAAAUCGACCUCUUGUAGUAGUAAGCUUAAUUAUCUAAUAAUAAUAAUAAUACAAGUUUCUUGUAUGAAAUUGAAACUCUAUAUAUGCCCUUUGUUUCGAAAUCGUAAUUUGUAAUGCUUUGUGUUUUGUUUCAGGGAAAGGUGGUGAUCUAUCCUAGCAGUUCUGGAGGUAAAAAGAUCAUCUCACAUACAUUGUUGCUUUAUGGUUUUGUCUUUUCUUGUUAACUUUGUUAUUUCGUGAAGCUUAAAUGUGUUUUGGACUUUGGUAUAUGAAUAGUACAAAGGACGCUGGGCAAAAGCCUUUCUCCUUCCAAAUCGGUAAAGGUGCUGUCAUCAAAGGAUGGGAUGAAGGCGUUAUCGGAAUGCAAAUUGGAGAGGUUGCUCGCUUACUGGUAUGUAGACUGCUCUUCUCAUCAUGCAAACAUAUUUGAUUGCUUCAUGAAUUCUAUUAGCUUUGCGUCUGUCUUGAAAGCAUGUUGUCUCUAAGGUUUGUGGAAUGAAAGUGUAAUGAAAGCUCUCUCCUUUAUCA